rnacentral:rRNA from 1 species
AUUGAACGCUGGCGGCAGGCCUAACACAUGCAAGUCGAGCGAGCGGCGGACGGGUGAGUAAUGUCUGGGAAACUGCCUGAUGUAGGGGGAUAACUCCUGGAAACGGUAGCUAAUACCGCAUACCAUCAGAUGUGCCCAGAUGGGAUUAGCUAGUAGGUGGGGUAACGGCUCACAUAGGCGACGAUCCCUAGCUGGUCUGAGGGGAUGACCAGCCACAGUGGACCUGAGACACGGUCCAGAGUCCUACGGGAGGCAGGAGUGGGGAAUAUGUCACAAGGGGCGCAAGCCUGAGGCAGCCAUGCCGCGGGUGUGAAGAAGGCCUUCGGGUUGUAAAGCACUUUCAGCGGGGAGGCGGUACCCGCAGAAGAAGCACCGGCUAACUCCGUGCCAGCAGCCGCGGUAAUUC